CAAGAUAUAGCUUAAACAAAGCAUCCAGUUUACACCUAGAAGACUUCAUUCAUUAUGAAUAUCUUGACCA
rnacentral:tRNA from 1 species